rnacentral:rRNA from 1 species
AGUUAAAAAGCUCGUAGUUGGAUUUCUGCGGGGGCGGGGCGGCCGGUUGCUUAUAGCAACUCGAGCUAGCACUUCCCCUGCAUCCCGCCGCGAACCGUGCUACCAUUAGUUUGGUGGCGCCGGGGAUCGGCUCGUUUACUUUGAGAAAAAUAGAGUGUUCAAAGCAGGCCACACGCCUUGUAUAAGUUAGCAUGGAAUAAUGAUAAAGGACUUCGGUUCUAUUUUGUUGGUGUUCGGGACUGAAGUAAUGAUUGAUAGGGACAGUUGGGGCGGUCCGUAUUCCAAAGCGAGAGGUGAAAUUCUUAGACCUUCGGAAGACGAACAGCUGCGAAAGCGUUCCGCAAGGAUGUUCCCUUUGAUCAAGAACGAAAGUUGGGGGAUCGAAGACGAUCAGAUACCGUCGUAGUCUCAACUAUAAACUAUACCAGCUAGGGAUCGGCCAACGUUUAAUUACACCGACUUGGUCGGCACCUUAUGAGAAAUCAAAGCAUCUGGGUUCCGGGGGGAGUAUGGUCGCAAGGCUGAAACUUA